rnacentral:rRNA from 1 species
CCUACGGGCGGCAGCAGUGGGGAAUAUUGGACAAUGGGGGGAACCCUGAUCCAGCCAUGCCGCGUGUGUGAAGAAGGCCCUCGGGUUGUAAAGCACUUUCAGUGAGGAAGAACGCCUGGUGGUUAAUACCCAUCAGGAAAGACAUCACUCACAGAAGAAGCACCGGCUAACUCCGUGCCAGCAGCCGCGGUAAUACGGAGGGUGCGAGCGUUAAUCGGAAUUACUGGGCGUAAAGCGCGCGUAGGUGGCUUGAUAAGCCGGUUGUGAAAGCCCCGGGCUCAACCUGGGAACGGCAUCCGGAACUGUCAAGCUAGAGUGCAGGAGAGGAAGGUAGAAUUCCCGGUGUAGCGGUGAAAUGCGUAGAGAUCGGGAGGAAUACCAGUGGCGAAGGCGGCCUUCUGGACUGACACUGACACUGAGGUGCGAAAGCGUGGGUAGCAAACAGGAUUAGAUAUCCCGGUAGUC